rnacentral:rRNA from 1 species
UUCCAGACUCCUACGGGAGGCAGCAGUGGGGAAUAUUGGACAAUGGGGGGAACCCUGAUCCAGCGACGCCGCGUGAGUGAAGAAGUAUUUCGGUAUGUAAAGCUCUAUCAGCAGGGAAGAAAGAAAUGACGGUACCUGACUAAGAAGCCCCGGCUAACUACGUGCCAGCAGCCGCGGUAAUACGUAGGGGGCGAGCGUUAUCCGGAAUUACUGGGUGUAAAGGGAGCGUAGACGGCGAGGUAAGCCUGAAGUGGAAGCCCGCGGCCCAACCGCGGAACUGCUUUGGGAACUGUUUUGCUGGAGUAUGGGAGGGGUAAGCGGAAUUCCUGGUGUAGCGGUGAAAUGCGUAGAUAUUAGGAGGAACACCAGUGGCGAAGGCGGCUUACUGGACAGUAACUGACGUUGAGGCUCGAAAGCGUGGGGAGCAAACAGGAUUAGAUACCCUGGUAGU